rnacentral:misc_RNA from 1 species
UUUCCGUAGGUGAACCUGCGGAAGGAUCAUUAUCGAGACAGGAGGCAACUCCAUCGUUCCGUGUUCCUGCAAAUGUCUGGCAGUGCAGUACGCCUGCCAGCCGACCCAGCAUCCAAAUGUUGUAACGCUCUGCAUGCACAGCAUGCCUGUAACCUGUAAACAACUGUUAGCAACGGAUCACUUGGUUCUCGCAUCGAUGAAGAACGCAGC